rnacentral:rRNA from 1 species
UCGAGGAUCUUCGGCAAUGGGCGCAAGCCUGACCGAGCGACGCCGCGUGCGGGAUGAAGGCCUUCGGGUUGUAAACCGCUGUCAGUGGGGAGGAAGGCCCUGUGAAGAGCAGGGUUUGACCUAUCCGCAGAGGAAGUGUGGGCUAAGUUCGUGCCAGCAGCCGCGGUAAGACGAACCACACGAACGUUAUUCGGAAUUACUGGGCUUAAAGGGUGCGUAGGCGGUGCGGAAAGUUAGGUGUGAAAUCCCCCGGCUCAACCGGGGAAUUGCGCUUAAAACUACCGUGCUAGAGGAAGAUAGAGGUGAGCGGAACUUCGGGUGGAGCGGUGAAAUGCGUUGAUAUCCGAAGGAACACCGGUGGCGAAAGCGGCUCACUGGAUCUUUUCCGACGCUGAUGCACGAAAGCUAGGGGAGCAAACGG